rnacentral:rRNA from 1 species
AUAAUCUACCCAGUAAUCCGGGAUAACAUCUCGAAAGAGAUGCUAAUACCUGAUAAGCCCACGAUCUCUUCGGAGAACGAGGGAAAAGGUGGGGACCUUCGGGCCUGCCGUUGCUGGAUGAGUCCGCGGCCCAUUAGCUAGUUGGUAGGGUAAUGGCCUACCAAGGCUACGAUGGGUAGCUGGUCUGAGAGGAUGAUCAGCCACACUGGAACUGAGACACGGUCCAG